rnacentral:rRNA from 1 species
UACGUAGGGUGCGAGCGUUAAUCGGAAUUACUGGGCGUAAAGCGUGCGCAGGCGGUUGUGCAAGACAGAUGUGAAAUCCCCGGGCUUAACCUGGGAAUUGCGUUGGAGACUGCAAGGCUGGAGUCUGGCAGAGGGGGGUAGAAUUCCACGUGUAGCAGUGAAAUGCGUAGAGAUGUGGAGGAACACCGAUGGCGAAGGCAGCCCCCUGGGUCAAGACUGACGCUCAUGCACGAAAGCGUGGGGAGCAAACAGG